AACUACAACAAACAUACACAACACAUAUGCGCAGAUUAGACAAAAUAUAUUCCUCGACAAAGUUAGGCGUACUUUUUUGCGUACUUGCAGUGAUAUUUUUAAAAUGAAUCUCGUUGUGGUGUUGUUGAACAUGUUUCUUUUUGCAAUCUUCAUUAUAAGCUGUAUCAAUGGAUUGGAUUAUGCAUCCUUUGACAAAACAGCACAUUCCUACUGCGCAAGUCAUUCAAAUGGUCACGUGUUUGUUUUGAGAAGGGAUUGUGAGAAAACUACAAAGGACUGCAAAGCAAUGUGUUCAGAUGCAAAAAAUGCAAUAGUUGGCACAAUUUACCAUAAGAAAGACACAGUUGUCUGCUUCGAUGCUUACAAAGUUUACACAGACCAAUAUAAUUCCAGUGAUGUUAUGCAGACUACUGGUUUAGUUGGCUUCCAUACCUAUGGGUUCGGUCCAAGAGGGUGCACUGGAUCACCAGAUCACUGUGGACCGAACUACUGUUGUUGUGUGGCAUAUUAGAGGAACUUCUGAAUUGUCUAGUGUAAAAAGACCUUCAAAUGUGUUAUACAAAUAAAAGAAGCUUUAGCA